AGAGUUUGAUCAUGGCUCAGGACGAACGCUGGCGGCGUGCCUAACACAUGCAAGUCGAGCGAGAGGCUUCGGUCUCUAGCGGCGGACGGGUGAGUAACACGUGGGUAACCUGCCUCAUAGAGGGGGAUAGCCUUCCGAAAGGAAGAUUAAUACCGCAUAACAUAUUUUAGUCGCAUGGCUAGAAUAUCAAAGGAGUAAUCCGCUAUGAGAUGGACCCGCGGCGCAUUAGCUAGUUGGUGAGGUAACGGCUCACCAAGGCCACGAUGCGUAGCCGACCUGAGAGGGUGAUCGGCCACAUUGGAACUGAGAUACGGUCCAGACUCCUACGGGAGGCAGCAGUGGGGAAUAUUGCACAAUGGGCGAAAGCCUGAUGCAGCAACGCCGCGUGAGUGAUGAAGGCCUUCGGGUUGUAAAGCUCUGUCCUUGGGGACGAUAAUGACGGUACCCAGGGAGGAAGCCACGGCUAACUACGUGCCAGCAGCCGCGGUAAUACGUAGGUGGCAAGCGUUGUCCGGAUUUACUGGGCGUAAAGGAUGCGUAGGUGGAUAUUUAAGUCAGAUGUGAAAUACCCGAGCUUAACUUGGGUGCUGCAUUUGAAACUGGAUAUCUAGAGUGCAGGAGAGGUAAGUGGAAUUCCUAGUGUAGCGGUGAAAUGCGUAGAGAUUAGGAAGAACACCAGUGGCGAAGGCGACUUACUGGACUGUAACUGACACUGAGGCAUGAAAGCGUGGGGAGCAAACAGGAUUAGAUACCCUGGUAGUCCACGCCGUAAACGAUGAGUACUAGGUGUAGGAGGUAUCGACUCCUUCUGUGCCGCAGUUAACACAAUAAGUACUCCGCCUGGGAAGUACGGUCGCAAGAUUAAAACUCAAAUGAAUUGACGG
rnacentral:rRNA from 1 species